GGUUCUUUGUCUGGUGCUAUUAUCGUCGUUUAGAGGCUGUGCCGAUCCAUUAUAUCCGUUAAUGUAUUUCCACUUUUUACUUUGGGCAGAGCUGCUUUGGGGAGGUUAUUUAUUUAUUCUUAAAGUUGGGUCGAGAGUAGCAUUAAAUUAGAUCGCAAUUUCACCGGGAACGCUUGGAGACUUUAACCUUCAAUGCCUUCAAUAUAUGCCCUCUCCAACGGUGUCUUUCUUUCUUUUCCUUUAUUUUAUUUUUAUCGCUCUACCAAAACUUAUUUUUUGUUUUCGCAAACAUUUGCAUCAUUGGCUUCGCUCAUUCUUAUUCUUUACAAUCGGGAAAAUUGACUAGUGUUUUUGUUUCGAAAAUUUCCUUUAAAGUGCUGGAAAUGUUCUAUUAUUAUGACUUUCAUGGAAUUUAUAGAACAUUAACAAACAACGGAGUCACGGAUUUUCUGUUCAUUUGGACACGAAAUCAAUUGGAAGGGGGUGGGCAGCCAUUUUAUCUAGUGUCAUCUGGUGGUAGAUUUAGGUAGGUGUUAUUAUAUACAAGUCUAUUCGUCUGACAUUUUCGUUAAACUGACACUGGAAGACAAUAAAAGUUAUGAAAUGCCUAGAAAACAGAUGUACGACAAGAUUCAAAAUGGAAUAAUUUAGUUUACGAUUGCGUGGAGCUGAGACUCACUUAGACUUAAUAGUUGGACCGAUGACGUUGAGGCUUGAGCUGAACUGAAAGGUGAAAGCAAUCCAGCCGUUCCGGCCAGUCGUUCAUGCUUUUGGGGAUUAAAAAAUAAUGAAACAAAAAACCGAUUAUCUCCAAUCCAACAGAUUAUCUGUUGAGGUUGUGAUUACAUGGAAUUUUGAGAAUUUGUUGUUGGCAGCAGUUCGAUUAUUCAUUGUUUACUUAUUAUUUUGAUUUAUAGACUGAAUGGGGCCACCUGGUUUUAUUUCCAAAAACAUGGUCGACAGAGCUCUUUGUUUGUUAAACUGUUGGCUGCUACUCUGAAUUCCCUCUUUGACUUCAGGCCUGCUCUGGAUUUGAGGUUAAUCCUGUGAAGUUAUUCAAUGGACUGAAUCCAUUGAACCUAACGAAAGAUUAGAGGCGACUUACUGACAUGCUUUCAUUCAGCAUACUGCUCACUUGCGUGCCGUCCUCUUUCGUCGCUCCGAGGUAUGGGGGAGUUUAGCCUGCUCCAGCUACGCGUCCAGCAUCAUUCGACUAUUCAACCGACUUCUACUACCCCUGCCCUCAACACAGCACAGCAUUUUUAUCUUCAGAUUGUUUGGCCGGUGUUCGAUGUGAUGGCGUUUUCUGUAGGACGAAGAGAUGGUGAUUUUGGAGACGAGAAUAUAACCCAUUUAGGUAAUGACCGAGAACAUGCGGCCUACAUGAACAUCAUUUAGGCGGCCAGC